UGCCAGCCGCCGCGGUAAUACAGAGGGGGCAAGCGUUGUUCGGAAUUACUGGGCGUAAAGGGCGCGUAGGCGGCCCUCUAAGUCAGACGUGAAAUCCCCGGGCUUAACCCGGGAACUGCGUCUGAGACUGGAGGGCUUGAGUUCGGGAGAGGGAAGUGGAAUUCCAGGUGUAGCGGUGAAAUGCGUAGAUAUCGUGAGGAAGACCAAUGGCGAAAGCAAGCUACUGGACAAUACCUGACGCUGAUGCUCGAAGGCCAGGGGAGCGAAAGGGAUUAGAUA
rnacentral:rRNA from 1 species